GUACCUGCUUCGGCCAGUACAUAUACUAAAAUUGGAACGAUACAGAGAAGAUUAGCAUGGCCCCUGCGCAAGGAUGACACGCAAAAUCGUGAAGCGUUCCUUAUUUUU
rnacentral:snRNA from 1 species